rnacentral:rRNA from 1 species
UACGGGGGGGCAAGCGUUAAUCGGAAUUACUGGGCGUAAAGCGUGCGCAGGCGGUUUGUUAAGUCCGCUGUGAAAUCCCCGAGCUCAACUUGGGAAUUGCAGUGGAUACUGGCAAGCUGGAGUAUGGUAGAGGAAGGUGGAAUUCCCGGUGUAGCAGUGAAAUGCGUAGAGAUCGGGAGGAACACCAGUGGCGAAGGCGGCCUUCUGGACCAAUACUGACGCUCAUGCACGAAAGCGUGGGGAGCAAACAGG